UAUUAUUAUCUUAAAAUAAAGAAUUUGUUUUGAAAACAAAAAAUAAAUAAUUAAA
rnacentral:tRNA from 1 species